rnacentral:rRNA from 1 species
AUUGGACGCUGGCGGCAUGCCUUACACAUGCAAGUCGAACGGUAACAGGUCUUCGGAUGCUGACGAGUGGCGAACGGGUGAGUAAUACAUCGGAACGUGCCCGAUCGUGGGGGAUAACGAAGCGAAAGCUUUGCUAAUACCGCAUACGAUCUACGGAUGAAAGCAGGGGACCGCAAGGCCUUGCGCGAACGGAGCGGCCGAUGGCAGAUUAGGUAGUUGGUGGGAUAAAAGCUUACCAAGCCGACGAUCUGUAGCUGGUCUGAGAGGACGACCAGCCACACUGGGACUGAGACACGGCCCAGACUCCUACGGGAGGCAGCAGUGGGGAAUUUUGGACAAUGGGCGAAAGCCUGAUCCAGCCAUGCCGCGUGCAGGAUGAAGGCCUUCGGGUUGUAAACUGCUUUUGUACGGAACGAAAAGACUCUGGUUAAUACCUGGGGUCCAUGACGGUACCGUAAGAAUAAGCACCGGCUAACUACGUG